CCCUUAGAUGUUCUGGGCCGCACGCGCGCUACACUGAUGCAUUCAACGAGUUUCUUCCUGGUCCGAGAGGAAUGGGUAACCUUUUGAAAGUGCAUCGUGAUAGGGAUAGACUAUUGCAAUUAUAGGUCUUCAACGAGGAAUUCCUAGUAGACGUAGUUCAUCAGACUGCAUCGAUUACGUCCCUGCCCUUUGUACACACCGCCCGUCGCUCCUACCGAUUGAAUGCUCAGGUGAGCCAUUCGGACUUUCAUCAUGCUGGUUUCCAGUUUUGAUGAAGGAAAGUCUUGCGAACCUUAUCAUUUAGAGGAAGGAGAAGUCGUAACA
rnacentral:rRNA from 1 species